GUCUGCGUAGCUCAGUUGGAUAGAGCGACCGCCUCCUAAGCGGUAGGCCGGGUGUUCAAGUCACCUCGCGGACACCA
rnacentral:tRNA from 1 species